GAUGAACGCUGGCGGCGUGCUUAACACAUGCAAGUCGAACGAAGCGGCUUUACGGAAGUUUUCGGAUGGAAGUGAGGUUGACUGAGUGGCGGACGGGUGAGUAACGCGUGGGUAACCUGCCUCAUACAGGGGGAUAACAGUUAGAAAUGACUGCUAAUACCGCAUAAGCGCACAGUACCGCAUGGUACAGUGUGAAAAACUCCGGUGGUAUGAGAUGGACCCGCGUCUGAUUAGCCAGUUGGUGAGGUAACGGCCCACCAAGGCGACGAUCAGUAGCCGACCUGAGAGGGUGACCGGCCACAUUGGGACUGAGACACGGCCCAAACUCCUACGGGAGGCAGCAGUGGGGAAUAUUGCACAAUGGGCGAAAGCCUGAUGCAGCGACGCCGCGUGAGCGAAGAAGUAUUUCGGUAUGUAAAGCUCUAUCAGCAGGGAAGAUAAUGACGGUACCUGACUAAGAAGCCCCGGCUAACUACGUGCCAGCAGCCGCGGUAACAC
rnacentral:rRNA from 1 species